AACGAACGCUGGCGGCAGGCUUAACACAUGCAAGUCGAGCGCCCCGCAAGGGGAGCGGCAGACGGGUGAGUAACGCGUGGGAAUCUACCCAUCCCUACGGAAUAGCUCCGGGAAACUAGAAUUAAUACCGUAUACGCCCUACGGGGGAAAGAUUUAUCGGGGAUGGAUGAGCCCGCGUUGGAUUAGCUAGUUGGUGGGGUAAAGGCCUACCAAGGCGACGAUCCAUAGCUGGUCUGAGAGGAUGAUCAGCCACAUUGGGACUGAAACACGGCCCAAACUCCUACGGGAGGCAGCAGUGGGGAAUAUUGGACAAUGGGGGCAACCCUGAUCCAGCCAUGCCGCGUGAGUGAUGAAGGCCUUAGGGUUGUAAAGCUCUUUCACCGGGGAAGAUAAUGACGGUACCCGGAGAAGAAGCCCCGGAUAACUUCGUGCCAGCAGCCGCGGUAAGAC
rnacentral:rRNA from 1 species